rnacentral:rRNA from 1 species
AUGGCGAUGAGGGGAGCACAAACAGGGAACACAAACAGAGAAGAGUGGAGAGAAGAAAGUAGGAGAGAAGAGUAUACAAAUACCAGAAGAGUGCGCAAAGGCACUAUAAUCGUCAAGACUUCUACUAUGUGGCUAACGAGAAGAGAGAAGGGCAUGAAAGAAAUACGUCAAGGCUUGAGCGUGAAGGAAAGAAGUAAUGUAGGGGAGCAAACUAAAAGAAGAGGAGGAUCUUCUUGGGAAGAGAGAAGAAAGGAGGAGGGCCAAAGUAAAAAAAAGACACAACAGAGGAGGGGAUCAAAAAUCCCUAGCGCAGCCGAUCCCCAUCGGGCCUGGCUCAUCUCUCUCUCUCCCUCACCCCUCCUUCUCCACCUCCGGCCGCCACCACGGCCAGGCCGGCGUGUUGGUGCGCCUCCCACCUCAUCACCCAUCUCCAUCCACCACUCCACCAUCACCUCCAUCCAUCAGCGCCGUGCCACCCAGCACCUCCACCAUGCACCACCAGCACCACUCCAGAUCCACCUCACGCAACUCACCAGACAGAGGGUCGGCGGUGUCUGA